rnacentral:rRNA from 1 species
UACGAAGGGGGCUAGCGUUGUUCGGAAUUACUGGGCGUAAAGCGCGCGCAGGCGGUCUUCCAAGUCAGUGGUGAAAGCCCGGAGCUCAACUCCGGAACUGCCAUUGAAACUGUUAGACUUGAGGACGAGAGAGGUGAGUGGAAUUCCCAGUGUAGAGGUGAAAUUCGUAGAUAUUGGGAAGAACACCGGUGGCGAAGGCGGCUCACUGGCCCGAUACUGACGCUGAGGCACGAAAGCGUGGGGAGCAAACAGG